AAUGGGGGCAACCCUGAUCCAGCCAUGCCGCGUGAGUGAAGAAGGCCUUCGGGUUGUAGAGCACUUUCAGUGGGGAAGAACGGGUUCGGGCUAAUACCCCGGAUCACUGACGUUACCCACAGAAGAAGCACCGGCUAACUCCGUGCCAGCAGCCGCGGUAAUACGGAGGGUGCAAGCGUUAAUCGGAAUCACUGGGCGUAAAGCGCACGUAGGCGGCACGUUAAGUCAGAUGUGAAACCCCGGGGCUAAACCUGGGAAUGGCAUUUGAUACAGCGCGCUCGAGUCUGAUAGAGGGGGGUGGAAUUCCAGGUGUAGCGGUGAAAUGCGUAGAUAUCUGGAGGAACACCGGUGGCGAAGGCGGCCCCCUGGAUCAUGACUGACGCUGAGGUGCGAAAGCGUGGGUAGCAAA
rnacentral:rRNA from 1 species